UACGUAGGGUGCGAGCGUUGUCCGGAAUUAUUGGGCGUAAAGAGCUCGUAGGCGGUUUGUCGCGUCGGCCGUGAAAACUUGGGGCUUAACCCCAAGCCUGCGGUCGAUACGGGCAGACUUGAGUUCGGCAGGGGAGACUGGAAUUCCUGGUGUAGCGGUGAAAUGCGCAGAUAUCAGGAGGAACACCGGUGGCGAAGGCGGGUCUCUGGGCCGAUACUGACGCUGAGGAGCGAAAGCGUGGGGAGCAAACAGG
rnacentral:rRNA from 1 species